UACGAAGGGGGCUAGCGUUGCUCGGAUUGACUGGGCGUAAAGGGCGCGUAGGCGGAUAGUACAGUCAGGCGUGAAAUUCCUGGGCUCAACCUGGGGGCUGCGUUUGAUACGUGUUGUCUGGAGUUCGGAAGAGGGUCGUGGAAUUCCCAGUGUAGAGGUGAAAUUCGUAGAUAUUGGGAAGAACACCGGUGGCGAAGGCGGCGACCUGGUCCGAUACUGACGCUGAGGCGCGAAAGCGUGGGGAGCAAACAGGG
rnacentral:rRNA from 1 species